AGGUAAGCCCCUAAAGGAAGGGAAAAUUAGCCGAUAACUAAUUUUUAGUUGGUUCAAGUCCAAUCUUAUCUU
rnacentral:tRNA from 1 species